AUGAAUCGAAUGGUCCUUCGACCUUCGUUUGAUUCCGACGGCCGGCAUAGAUCUCAUGAGACCCGCCCACUAUUACUACGAAAAAAGCCCUGCCCUUUCCUUCGCUACUAGGAAAGUAAGCAACUUCUAUUAGCGCCGGACCUUGAGUCGAAUUGAUCGUGUCAUGUGCAACGUCCAUCAAUGAUGGUUCAUUAAUGUCCAUUGAUUUAGACUCCUUCCCCCUUCUCAACGUAGAAAAAGAUCGAGAGGGGCCCGAAAGCCCCCAAAGAACGGAAACGGAAUUCGAUCCCUGCCCUUCCCUUCGCUACUAAGAAAGUAAGCAACUUCUAUUAGUGCCGGACCUUGAGUCGAAUUGAUCGUGUCAUGUGCAACGUCCUAGCAUAGUGCCCGGCUUUCUUAGCAACCAAAGCUAGCUUACUAAGGUAGUUUACUUUUUCAUUUUGAAAAAAGAAGGCGAAGGCAUUUUUCCUUGAUUGCACGAGCUAGACAGCAAUCCAACAAACCCCCCCUUACUCACCUCAACAUCUAUAAAAAGA
rnacentral:lncRNA from 1 species